rnacentral:rRNA from 1 species
GACGAGGGGUCCAAGCGUUGUUCGGAAUCAUUGGGGCGUAAAGCGGGUGUACGGUGGACUUUGUAAGUCAGGAGAUGAAAUCCCCGAGCGUUAACUCGGGAAGUGCUUUUGAAACUGCAGAGCUUGGAAUGUGGGACGAGGAUCGUGGAAUUCCAGGUGUAGUGGUGAAAUACGUAGAUACUCUGGAGGAACACCGGGUGGCGAAGGCGGCGAUCUGGCCCAACAUUGACACUGGAGACCCAGAAAGGCGUGGGGAUCAAAACAGGAUUGGAUA